rnacentral:lncRNA from 1 species
CUUUCAUGCCCGGCAAACCACUCGAUCACAGCCUCCCUGUGAGAUUCUGGCGAAAUCCAAGAAAAAUCCGACGAUCGGAGGAGGAGAUCCUAAAGGUUAGUUUUUUUAUUAUUUGCUGUGCUUCUUUAGACCCUCUUUUUUCAGAGUGAACCUUAACUUCUCUCAUAGCUUUGAUUUUUUCUUACCCCAGCGAUCUUUCGAAGGGUCUGCUCCCGUGAAGAAUGGAAUUGUUAGAAGAUUUGGAUUACGAGCCUGCAAUAAUUUGUGAUUGCGGUUUGAAAGCUGUUAGGAUCAUGUCAUGGAGUAAGAAGAAUUCUGAGCGGAGAUUCUAUUGGUACAUCAACCGCACGAUUAGAUGCUAAAAUCUUGAUCAUUUUCAAUUUUUUUAAAUUUUUUAUUAAUUUAAUUUUGUUCAUGAUUUAAAUGUUCAGUUAGUUGGUGGUGGUUGCAAUUUUUGGAGAUGGCAUGAUCCUCCUAUCAGAGAUGAUCGUAUGAAGGAUUUGAUUCUGAAGCUCCAUCAGAUAAAUAUUGAUCUCAGUUCAAGGUUACAGACGAUGAGAAAGUCUUCACCUAGGAUGACAUAGGGAAUUUCAAUAAUUCAGUCCCGUCAGAGUUGUAUUGAUAAUGAGUUUGAAUUUUAUAAAGAGAGAUUGC